rnacentral:tRNA from 1 species
CAUCAGAUGACUGAAAG